AUCGCUGCUCAUUAAUUUGAGGAGAGGAAAGUCCGGGCUCCGUAGAGCAAAAAGGGCAGUUAACGGCUGCUAAAGGAAACUUUAAGGAAAGUGCCACAGAAAAUAGACCGCCUUCGGGUAAGGGUGAAAAGGUGGUGUAAGAGACCACCAGUGUCUUAGGGAACUAAGAUAGCUAGGUAAACCCCCUUUGGAGCAAGACAAAAUAGGAAAGGUUAAGGGCUGCUCGUCCGGCUUUCAGGGUAAGUUGCUAGAAGUUAUAAGUAAUUAUAAAGCUAGAAAAAUGAUUAGUUAACACAGAACCCGGCUUAUUUGAUGCCUU
rnacentral:RNase_P_RNA from 1 species